UUCCAAUGAACAAAUAGUCUGUUGGGGAAUUUCGAUAUUCCACUCUCAAAGUAGCUUGUACAUCAGUGGUUCCUUGAAUAUUUCCUGAUACACCAACAUAUGCAGUAACAUAAUAAGUGGAACCUGGAGAAACAAUGCUUGUGAUAUCUUGCUCCAAGCCCUGCCAACUUUCUGUUCGAUUUGUGACAACUGCAUAAUAACGGCCCCGCUUUGUUAAGAAUGCUGGGUGACCUGACUCUGCGGAAACCACAGAGAAACUGCAGCCAUUUGCGUGCCAAGAAUGCAGUCCUUGAGAGAAGUCAUGGUUCGUUAUGACAUUGAUGGUCUUGAUGGCAGUGGCACCGCCGCUACUUGAUCUAACUAUGCCCUGAUCCAUGAUAUUAAAGUUUGAGCAAGUUUGAAAUAUCUAUAUAAAAACAUGUAAAGAUUCUUCAAUAGAACAUUCUUUAUAAUAAUAACAACGGCAAGCACUAAAUUUUAGUAGAGAAAGAAACGCCAUUGCAUUAAAAUUUAUAGUAAAAUACUAAAAUUUCGUAAUUUUUCAACAAAAUAACUUAUUUUUUAUUAUUUAAUUUUAAUUAAAAAAUAAAAUAUAUUGAUAAAUUUUUAAAAUAUAAAAAAGACUUUCUCUUUUCAACUAAAAAAAAUUAUUUUUUUAAAAAAUAACAUAAUUUUUCUUUAAUCAGAAAAAUAUUUUUUAUUAAUUAAAAUUUUUGAGUAUUUCAUACAUCAAAAAAAUUGAAAUUUUUGUUUUUCUAAAAAUAGUUAUGAAUCAAAUGGAAGCUAAAUAUAAAAAAUCAUCAUUAAAACUUUUAGCGUCAUAAUUUUUUGUAGUGAUCUAGUUGCAUACUUGAAUUUUAUAACUAAAUAUUUUAGUGGUAGAUUUCACCCUCCAACGGUGAUUUUUAUUUCAUAAAAGGACUAAUUUUUUAUAAUUUCAUAAUAAAAAAUAAGAACCAAAGAAGAGUUUAAUAUUAAAGUUAGAGAAAAAACUUAGAGGAAAAACUUACUUACAUGAGUCUACAUGGACCAUAAUAUAAAAUAAUAGUGGGAUUUACAUAACAUUUCAUAAAUUUAUAUUAUAAUCAUGUAUAGUCGGUGUAGGUAAAAAUUACCCAUAAAUUUAGGUCAACUAACCUCAAUUCUUGGACGAGGGGAGGAUGGUACUUUCUCAGCAUGUUUUAGGAAAAAACCAUUGACAAGAAUAUCAGUUUUUGCAGGAGGGCCUUCAAUGAAAAUCACUACCUUCUUAGAGUAAUCAUUUAGAAGAAACUUUCCUUUUAAUUGUACCCACUCCUUAUCUGUUGCUUGCAGACUACAAAUUCAAAAAGACAAUCAUGAAAACAAUUCAAGAAUAUAGAGAAAAAAAUUCUAGAUAAUUUGAUUUGAUUGAUGAAAAUGUUAGAGAUGAUAAGGGAAUAAAACUUAAAAUCUCACAUUCCUAUACGUCAUAUAAUUAUAAAAAUCUAUUUAAUAUGUAUCUAGAUAAAUAUAAUAAAGUUCAACUCCAAACAAGUUUUCCUAAGAGUGAUAAGUCUUUUUAUUAUAUUUUUUUUCCAUUUCUCUAUUUAUUAUGAUUAUUAAUUGAUAAAUAACUCUUUAUAUUAAUUAUUUUGAAAAAAAUGACUUUUCACUUUUUUUAUAAAAAAAAAAAUGUGUAUAUAUUAAAUAAAAAUAUUUUCUAUGGAGAUUAUUAGGGGAAAAAAAGCUAACUUGGCAAUGCUUAUGUAUUGUUCCCGGAGAUCUGUCGUUUGAACCCAUAAAGUAGCUCGCACAUCAGCGCUGGAAACAUUGUUGCCAAAGAUCCGAACCACAGCGAUGGCCUCAUAAGCUAGCUUUGCAUGUACUUUUCCAGUUAUAUCCUGCUCGAUUCCGUUCCAGCUCUGGGUACGCUCAGUUGCACAUGCAAAAACUUUUCCAAACAGGGGGACAAUUUUCCCACAAGCCAAUGAUUCAUGUAAGACAAGCUUGCAGCCUCUUCCAGACCACUUGUUCAGGCCAUCCUCAAAUUUAGGAUUUGCCAUGAUGUUCCCUUCUCCAUAUCCAGUGUCCACAAAUUGAUAAUGACUUGUUUCCUUUUGAUAACUUGUUUUCUCUUGAUAGCUUGUUUCCUUUUGAUAGCUUGUUUCCUUUCCAUAUCAAAAUGAAGAGAAUUUCACAAAUUAAUCAUCACAAAAAGUAUAAAUAAAAUUAAUAAAUAGAUUUAAGAAGAAAAAUUACGUAGAAUUCACUUGGUGGGGAGCUGGAAAUAACUACUGAUUGUAUAAGCAAGUCCACUGCAGCAGAAGGGCCUUCCAAGUAAAAAACGGCACGAUCAGGCUUCUUUGGCAGGGAGAAUUUUCCUUCCAACUUUUCCCACCUUUCCUUUGACAGAGAAAUUCUGCAGGGAUAUAUAACUUACAUUAAGACUAUCUGUAUGUUUCAUUUAAGGAAGAAACGCAAUAAAGUGAAGCAGCAAAUCUAUUACCUUCCAAUGAACAAAUAGUCUGUUGGGGAAUUUCGAUAUUCCACUCUCAAAGUAGCUUGUACAUCAGUGGUUCCCUGAAUAUGUCCUGAUACACCAACAUAUGCAGUAACAUAAUAAGUGGAACCUGGAGAAACAAUGCUUGUGAUAUCUUGCUCCAAGCCCUGCCAACUUUCUGUUCGAUUUGAGACAACUGCAUAAUAACCACCUCGCUUUGUUAAGAAUGCUGGGUGACCUGACUCUGCUGAAACCACAGAGAAACUGCAGCCAUUUGCGUGCCAAGAAUGCUGUCCUUGAGAGAAGUCAUGGUUCGUUAUGACAUUGAUGGUGGUGUUGCCACUUGAACCAGAUAUGCCUUGGUCCAUUAUGGUCUUGAUAGCAGUGUCACCAUAUGAACCAACAGUGCUCUGGUCCAUUGUGAUAUUGAUGGCACCGCUGCUACUUCUACAAGACAUGCCAUGGUCCCUUCUGAUAUUGGCGAUAUCGCUGCUACUUGAACUAACUUUGCCCUGAUCCAUUAUAUUAAAGUUUGAGCAACUUUGAAAUAUCUAUGUAAAAACAUGUAAAGAUUAUUCAAUAGAACAUUCAUAAUAAUAAUAUAACAACAGCAACAUUACAACAAUUGAGGUUUUCGCACUAAAUUUUAAUGGAGAAAAAAUUGCCGCUGCAUUAAAAUUUAGGCUAAUUUAUUUAAAAAGACCCAAUAUUUAUAUGUAUUUACAUUUUAAUUUAAUUCUUUCAAUUUUAGUUUAAUUAACUCAACCUUUAUAUUUUAGUAUAAUUUUAGCCUAUUUACAAAAUUUUAAAUUUAAUAGUCUAACUGGUAUCAAGUAUGUGUAUAUUAUUAUUAUUUAAUUGGUUAAUUAAUUAAAAAAGGCCAAAUAUUUAUUAUUUUAUAUUUUAAUUCAAACGUUUAAAUUUUAAAUAAAUGGAUUUAAUAUUUAUGUUUGAUUAUAAUUUUGAUUAAUUUUUAAAAUUAAAAUUAAAAAUAAAUAAUUUAAUUAUUAAAUAUGUAGUUCACAAUUUUAACUGAUAAAUUUUAUUUUACCGUAAUAAUUAUAAAUAUUUUAUAAUAAAUAUAUUAUUUAAUUCAAAAUUGUAGUAUAUAUAAAAUAAUUAAAAAUAAUAUAUUUAUUAUAAAAUUUUUAUAAUUAUUAAUACAAAAUAAAAUUUAUCUACUGUUAAAUGUUGAUAGCAUAUUAAAUAGUUAGAUUAUUAUUAUUUUUAAAAUUAAAUAUAUCAUUUAAAAUUACACUCUAGCAUUGCUCAAUUCAUCCAAAAUUUAAAUAUUUGAAUUAAAACGUAAAAUGAUGUAAACAAUAAAUUUUUAUAGUAAUUUGAUUAUUAGUUUAUAAUUAAAUAGUAAUAAUACACAUAACAUACUAAUUAAACUAUCAAAUUUAAAAAUUUACAUAUUAAUUAAAAUUGCAUCAAAACAUAAAGGUUAGAUUAAUUAAAUUAAAAUUAAAAAAAUUAAAUUAAAAUGUAAAUAUAUAUAAACUUUGAGUCUUUUUAAGUCAAUUGAUCUAAAAUUUAUUGUAAAAUACUAAAAUUUUACCACUAAGACUCCAUUUGUUUGGAGAAAAUAACUUGUAAUUGGAAAAUAUUUUUAAUUUAUAAAAAAAAUAAAAUAUAUUAACAAUUUAUAUAUAAGAUCUUAAUAAGAUUCUUAAAAUAGGAAAAAUGACUUACUUUUUUAAAAAAUCAAAAUUUAUUUUUAAAAUAAUUUAUUUUUUUUGGUAAAAAAAUAUUUUUUAUUGACUAAAUUUUUUAAAUACCUUAUCUAUUAAAAAAAUAUUUUUCUAAAACAUAUUUUUCAGUGAAAUAAAAGAAGAGUAAUUAUAAAAAAUCAUUAUUAAAACUUUUAACGUUAUAUUUUUUGUAGUGAUUUAAUGACUGAACUUGAAUUUUAUCUCUCAAUACUCUAGGGGUGAAUUUUACACAUUUAAUAAUAAUUUUUAUUUUUAUAAAAAGUUAAUUUCUUGUAAUCUAACAAUAAAAAAAUAUAAACAAAAAGUUUAACAUUAAAAUUGGAGGAAAAAUUUUUCUAUAUAAAGUUUAUAUAGACCAAUUCAUAUGAAACUAUAUAAAUUUAACACUAUAAAUCUAUAAGAUCUGAUCUAGAGAUAAGAAUUAUCGGUAAAUUUAGUUUAACUAACCUCAAUUGUUGGACGAGAGGAGGGAGGUACUUUCUCAGCAUGCUUUAGAAAAAAGCCGUUCACAAGAAUAUCAGUGCCUGCAGGUGGACCUUCUAUGAAAAUCACUACCUUUGUAGGGUAAUCAUUUAGAUGGAAUUUUCCCUUUAACUGUAUCCACUCUUUAUCUGUUGUCUGCAUACUACAGUUUCAAAAAGAUAAUCAUGAAAAUAAAUCAAGAAAAUGGUAAAAAAAAUCUAAAUAAUUUGAUUUGGUUAAUGAAAAUGAUGGAGAUAAUAUAACUAAAUAAAUCUUAAAACCUGGCGUUAUAAUCUAUAUCGAUAUUAAAUAUAAUAAAGUUUAACUCUAAAAUUAAGUUUUUCUAAAAGUAAAUGGGAAAGUAUAAUUUAAAAUCUCUCAAAUUUAUUCAGAUGCAUUUAUAAUCAGGCUAAAUCUGUGAGUGUAUAAGUCUUUUUAUUAUAUUUUUUAUAUUAGUUAAUUUUUCUCUUAUUUUAUUAUUACUUCCUCUCUACUAAAAGAAGAAAUGCCUUUAAAUUUUUAAAAAAUAUGAUAAAAAUAACUUUAAGUAUUCUAUUUGAGUUACUCAAGUAAAUAAUGGCUAAAGUAAGUGUCUAGAUGAUAAAUAAAGCCAUCUGACUCAGAGGGUUGAAUUAAGAAAAUGAUGUUUGCAGAAAUUGAAGGUGAUAAAAGAAUAUUAUAUAUGGAGAUAAUUAGAGGGAAAAAGAGCUAACUUGGCAAUGCCUAUGUAUUCUUCUUGGAGAUCUGUUGUUUGGACGCAUAAAGUAACUCGCACAUCAGCACUGCUAACAUUGUUGCCAAAGAUACGAACCACAGCAAUGGCCUCAUAAGCUUGCUUUGCCUGUACUUUUCCAGUUAUCUCCUGCUCGAUUCCGUUCCAGCUCUGGGUACGCUCAGUUGCACAUGCAAAAACUUUUCCAAACAGGGGGACAAUUUUCCCACAAGCCAAUGAUUCAUGUAAGACAAGCUUGCAGCCUCUUCCAGACCACUUGUUCAGGCCAUCCUCAAAUUUAGGAUUUGCCAUGAUGUUCCCUUUUCCAUAUCCAGUGUCCACAAAUUGAUAAUUACUUGUUUCCUUUUGAUAACUUGUUUUCUCUUGAUAGCUUGUUUCCUUUUGAUAGCUUGUUUCCUUUCCAUAUCAAAAUGAAGAAAAUUUUACAAAUUUAUCAUCACAAAAAUGUAUAAAUAAAAUUAAUAAAUAGGUUUAAGAAGAAAAAUUACAUGGAAUUCACUUGGAGGGGAACUGGUAAUAACGACUGAUUGUACAAGCAAGUCCACUGCAGGAGAAGGGCCUUCCAAGUAAAAAAGGACACGAUCAGGCUUCUUUGGCAGGGAGAAUUUUCCUUCCAACUUUUCCCACCUUUCCUUUGACAGAGAAAUUCUGCAGGGAUAUAUAACUUACAUUAAGACAAUCUGUAUGUUUCAUUUAAGGAAGAAAUGCAAUAAAAUGAAGCAACAAAUCUAUUACCUUCCAAUGAACAAAUAGUCUGUUGGGGAAUUUCGAUAUUCCACUCUCAAAGUAGCUUGCACAUCAGUGGUUCCUUGAAUAUUUCCUGAUACACCAACAUAUGCAGUAACAUAAUAAGUGGAACCUGGAGAAACAAUGCUUGUGAUAUCUUGCUCCAAGCCCUGCCAACUUUCUGUUCGAUUCGAGACAACUGCAUAAUAACCACCUC
rnacentral:lncRNA from 1 species